rnacentral:rRNA from 1 species
CCUACGGGUGGCAGCAGUAGGGAAUAUUGCUCAAUGGGGGAAACCCUGAUGCAGCAACGCCGCGUGGGGGAUGAAGGUUUUCGGAUUGUAAACUCCUGUUGUCAGGGAAGAUAAUGACGGUAUCUGACGAAUAAGCACCGGCUAACUCCGUGCCAGCAGCCGCGGUAAUACGGAGGGGGCAAGCGUUAUUCGGAAUUACUGGGCGUAAAGGGGGCGUAGGCGGGUUAGUAAGUCAGAAGUGAAAGGCUAUGGCUUAACCCUAGGACAGCAUUUGAAACUGUGUUUCUAGAGUACGGGAGAGGUAGGUGGAAUUCCUGGUGUAGCGGUGAAAUUCGUAGAGAUUAAGAGGAAUACCCGUUGCGAAGGCGGCCCUCUGGACUGUAACUGACGCUGAGGCACGAAAGCGUGGGGAGCAAACAGGAUUAGAUACCCGUGUAGUC